rnacentral:rRNA from 1 species
ACGGGAGGCAGCAGUGGGGAAUAUUGCACAAUGGGGGRAACCCUGAUGCAGCGACGCAGCGUGCGGGAUGACGGCCUUCGGGUUGUAAACCGCUUUCAGCAGGGAAGAAGCGCAAGUGACGGUACCUGCAGAAGAAGUACCGGCUAACUACGUGCCAGCAGCCGCGGUAAUACGUAGGGUACGAGCGUUGUCCGGAAUUAUUGGGCGUAAAGAGCUCGUAGGUGGUUGGUCACGUCUGCUGUGGAAACGCAACGCUUAACGUUGCGCGUGCAGUGGGUACGGGCUGACUAGAGUGCAGUAGGGGAGUCUGGAAUUCCUGGUGUAGCGGUGAAAUGCGCAGAUAUCAGGAGGAACACCGGUGGCGAAGGCGGGACUCUGGGCUGUAACUGACACUGAGGAGCGAAAGCAUGGGGAGCGAACAGGAUUAGAUACCCUGGUAGUCCAUGCCGUAAACGUUGGGCACUAGGUGUGGGGGGCAUUCCACGUUCUCCGCGCCGUAGCUAACGCAUUAAGUGCCCCGCCUGGGGGAGUACGG